UACGUAGGGGGCAAGCGUUGUCCGAAAUCAUUGGGCGUAAAGAGCGUGUAGGCGGCUCGAUAAGUCUGCUGUGAAAGUCCAGGGCUCAACCCUGGAAGGCCGGUGGAAACUGUCGGGCUAGAGUCCGGAAGAGGCGAGUGGAAUUCCCGGUGUAGCGGUGAAAUGCGCAGAUAUCAGGAAGAACACCCGUGGCGAAGGCGGCUCUGUCGG
rnacentral:rRNA from 1 species